rnacentral:rRNA from 1 species
UACGUAGGGCGCAAGCGUUAUCCGGAAUUAUUGGGCGUAAAGAGCUCGUAGGCGGUUUGUCGCGUCUGCCGUGAAAGUCCGGGGCUCAACUCCGGAUCUGCGGUGGGUACGGGCAGACUAGAGUGAUGUAGGGGAGACUGGAAUUCCCGGUGUAGCGGUGAAAUGCGCAGAUAUCAGGAGGAACACCGAUGGCGAAGGCAGGUCUCUGGGCAUUAACUGACGCUGAGGAGCGAAAGCAUGGGGAGCGAACAGG